CCCAUCGCUUUUGACAUCGGAAUAGCAAGCAUAAGGACAUUCGAACUCAGUUUUGGAUGCCCGAACCUCCUCGACGUCGACCCACCCCUUACCCAAGAGGUUUUAUGGUGAGAUAGUAGGAACCCUUCGGUGAACUUGGUAGCGCAUUAGAACUUUGUUUUUGCAGGUAUUGAGCUAGCUCUUGGGAUGGUGAUGGCG